ACAGCGGAGGGACGCGACGACUCCCGACCCGUGAUGCGGUCACCAGGGUCGAGGACGAGCGGAGUGGUGAGACCGGCCCACCCCUGG
rnacentral:ncRNA from 1 species